rnacentral:rRNA from 1 species
CUAGAGUUUGAUCCUGGCUCAGAAUCAACGCUGGCGGCGUGCCUCAGAUAUGCAACUCGAACGAUUAAACUUUCCUUCGGGAAAGAUAUAAAGUGGCGCACGGGUGAGUAACACGUAAGUAAUCUACCUUCGAGUGGGGAAUAACCCGGGGAAACCCGAGCUAAUACCGCAUAACGCAGCGGCACCUAAUGGUGACAGUUGUUAAAGGAGCAAUUCGCUUGAAGAGGAGCUUGCGGCAGAUUAGCUAUUUGGUAAGGUAAUGGCUUACCAAGGCUUCGAUCUGUAUCCGGUCUAAGAGGACGGUCGGACACACUGACACUGAAUAACGGGUCAGACUCCUACGGGAGGCAGCAGUCGGGAAUUUUGGGCAAUGGGCGAAAGCCUGACCCAGCAACGCCGCGUGAAGGAUGAAGUAUUUCGGUAUGUAAAC